ACUGAACGCUGGCGGCAUGCCUUACACAUGCAAGUCGAACGGUAACAGGUCUUCGGAUGCUGACGAGUGGCGAACGGGUGAGUAAUACAUCGGAACGUGCCCGAGAGUGGGGGAUAACGAGGCGAAAGCUUUGCUAAUACCGCAUACGAUCUCAGGAUGAAAGCAGGGGACCCCAAGGCCUUGCGCUCACGGAGCGGGCGAUGGCAGAUUAGGUAGUAGGUGGGAUAAAAGCUUACCAAGCCGACGAUCUGUAGCUGGUCUGAGAGGACGACCAGCCACACUGGGACUGAGACACGGCCCAGACUCCUACGGGAGGCAGCAGUGGGAAAUUUUGGACAAUGGGCGCAAGCCUGAUCCAGCCAUGCCGCGUGCAGGAUGAAGGCCUUCGGGUUGUAAACUGCUUUUGUACGGAACGAAAAGACUCUGGUUAAUACCUGGGGUCCAUGACGGUACCGUAAGAAUAAGCACCGGCUAACUACGUGCCAGCCGCCGCCGUAACAC
rnacentral:rRNA from 1 species